CCAGGAUCCAGGAAACUCCCUAAAUGUACUAACCUCGCUUUCUGGCUGAACCAAGAGGAUUUGGGUCCCCAGUGCUGAAAAUUGAUCUGGGUCCCCUGAAAGAGCAGCCAGUACUCCUAACCACUGAGCCAUCUCCCCAGCUUCCUGUUUGGUUUGUUUGAGACAAGGUUGUACUGUGCCGUCCUGGCUGAUGAGCUGUAGAGAAAUGCCGACAGGCUGGAAGUACUGCACAUCCGAACCAGCUCUCUUUAGAAGUCAGAUAUCUACUGUGUUCGAGCAGCAGAGAAACAUUUUCUGUCCUCCUGGAAAGAGGCAGCCUAGAAUAGUCUAUAUCAUCUGUACCUGUGGAAGUCAGAACGGUGAGAAAAAAGUCCUAUGAGAAAAAAGCUGUCUCCCAGUGGGAGUCCUGUCCCCACUGUGACAACAGAACCCCCAGGAGAGCAAGCUGGAGGCUGGAGGAGCC
rnacentral:lncRNA from 1 species